UACGGGGGGGGGCAAGCGUUGUUCGGAAUUACUGGGCGUAAAGGGCUCGUAGGCGGCCAACUAAGUCCGACGUGAAAUCCCCAGGCUUAACCUGGGAACUGCGUCGGAUACUGGAUGGCUUGAAUUCGGGAGAGGGAUGCGGAAUUCCAGGUGUAGCGGUGAAAUGCGUAGAUAUCUGGAGGAACACCGGUGGCGAAGGCGGCAUCCUGGACCAACACUGACGCUGAUGAGCGAAAGCCAGGGGAGCAAACGGG
rnacentral:rRNA from 1 species